rnacentral:tRNA from 1 species
UAUUUAAAGAUUAAAUUAAUCUCCAUAAUAUCUUCAAUAUUAUACUCUUUAUAUAUAAGCUAUUUAAAU